CCUGCGGAAGGAUCAUGUAAAUGAUUGGCCUAACGGCCUUAUCAACAUAAUCCCUCACCUCUGUGAACCGUUGACCUCCGGGUCUACAUAACAAACAUCAGUGUGAAGAACGUCUUUAUAUUUUAACAAAAUAAAACUUUCAACAACGGAUCUCUUGGCUCUCGCAUCGAUGAAGAACGCAGCGAAAUGCGAUAAGUAAUGUGAAUUGCAGAAUUCAGUGAAUCAUCGAAUCUUUGAACGCACCUUGCGCCUUUUGGUAUUCCGAAAGGCAUGCCUGUUUGAGUGUCAUGAAAUCUCAAUCCCCCCGGGUUUUCUGAACCCGAGGUGGACUUGGACAUGGGUGUCUGCCGUCUCGUACGGCUCGCCUUAAAUGACUCAGUGGGAUCUUCAGCAUCCGUGGCAGACGUAAUAAGUUUCGUCUCGUCCCUUGCUGUGAGGACCGCUCAUAACCUGCCAUCGCGCACCACUUUUGACUCUGACCUCAAAUCAGGUAGGACUACCCGCUGAACUUAAGCAUAUCAAAG
rnacentral:rRNA from 1 species